rnacentral:lncRNA from 1 species
AACAGCUGCCGGCGGCCCCACAGCACGGCUCCACCAAAUCCUCGCUCGGUGCUCCAAGCCUCGCACACACGCUCAGCAGGAGUCCAGGCAUGAACCAGGCUGGGUUGGGCUCUGCUGGUGCCCCAGGAUAAGAAAUGAAGGCUGCAUGGUUUUGCUCCAUCACUUGGUGUCCUCGCCGUAGGCCAUACACCUGCUCAGGUGCCCAUGGCAGUAGACUGCAGCUGAGACAAUUGCUGACUGGGGUCUGGUGCCCCCAACCUGGUCUCCACAAACAGGCCAGUGCUUCUGUGGUGAUGAGUGGUAUCUGGGAAGAGGGUGGAACCCAUACUUCAGCCUCUCAAAUCUCCUUCAUAUUUUCUUAUGAACAGGAACAUCUAUUUUACAGCUGUUGGAAAUACCGACUGCAGGGCAGACUGUUGCUGUCACCACAGUGCCAUCAUCUUCUGGAACACUUUGGGUAGCAAUUGUUUAACCUCUUAAAAAAAAAAAAUAAUUUAUUUGUCUAAUAACAAUGCCUAUUAUCACAUACCAAUCUAUGUUAAAAAUUAUAAUUCCUCAUGUAGGGAUGCCUGAACUGUAAUUCCUCAGCUUUAUAAUCCUGAAGGGAAAUGGCAGAAUAUUCCUUUUGAAAGGUGAAUAUUGUUAUUGUAUUGUAUUGUAUUGUAUUGUAUUCCCCAAACUGCUAGAGGCCCAGGGGUUUUGACUACAGCUCAGAAAUGCCGAGGUCCAGCCUUCUGCUCAUGUUACUAGCCAACAGCUGUGAUUUCUCCACAUUAGGCAGUGCUGAUCUGAUUUCCUUUAGCAAAAUGUGACAGCCUGCCGAACUCUCUAAAGCCAAGACAAUGAGAUUCCAUAAGGCCUAUUAGAAUGCAGUCUUUUGUAUAAGUCAGUGUCAAUAACCCCACUGCAUUGUAUGCCUCUUCUCUGUAAAAGAAAAGUGUUUUCUGCAGUGCAUUAGAACUGACGCACCUCACAGAUGCACUGCAGAUUGGUAGCUUUUUAAGAGGAAAUGUUAUUUGGUUUCAGUGAUAGCCAUACUUUACAUAAUGGAUGUAAUCUAUUACUUUUUGUGCAUACAGCAAACAGCUCUCGUAGCAAAAGUAAUAGAUUAAAUUUAUUAUCAUUGUCUUCCUCUAAUAAAAUAAGUGUGCUCUCCA